GACGAACGCUGGCGGCGUGCUUAACACAUGCAAGUCGAACGAUGAAGCUGGAGCUUGCUCUAGCGGAUUAGUGGCGAACGGGUGAGUAACACGUGAGCAAUCUGCCCCUGACUCUGGGAUAACUGCGGGAAACUGUAGCUAAUACCGGAUACUUUCACCGGGGGUCAUCCUCUGGUGAUGAAAGAAUUUCGGUCAAGGAUGAGCUCGCGGCCUAUCAGCUUGUUGGUGAGGUAACGGCUCACGAAGGCGACGACGGGUAACCGGCCUGAGAGGGUGACCGGUCACACUGGGACUGAGACACGGCCCAGACUCCUACGGGAGGCAGCAGUGGGGAAUAUUGCACAAUGGGCGCAAGCCUGAUGCAGCAACGCCGCGUGAGGGAUGAAGGCCUUCGGGUUGUAAACCUCUUUUAGCAGGGAAGAAGCGAAAGUGACGGUACCUGCAGAAAAAGCACCGGCUAACUACGUGCCAGCCGCCGCAGUAA
rnacentral:rRNA from 1 species